CUCCUCCCAGAGGCCAGGAUAAUGAGCUGCAGCUCUGUUCCGGGAUGCUGGCUGCCUAAAGUGCAGCAGCCGCAGUGGGGCGGAGAAGACCACGUGUCUGCAAUUCACAUAGAUUUCCUGCGAGUCGUUGUUUUUGUCUGACGUGUGGGAUGUGGGAGAGCGGAGUCAGAAGCUAAGCUUAGGGGCCUAGGAAAGGCAUCCCAGAGACGGCCACUGAAGUCCUCCUUGGAAAGAAUCUCGAAGACGACCCUGAUGGUCCAAUUCCCCAGCUCCUGGCAAGGGAACCGCUCCUGCUCCCUGCGAUUCCCAAGGACAGAGCUAGGAACUAGGCCUCCAGUCUGGGCAUGGUCCCCCGUGGCAGGAGGACUUUGUCCCUGUUCUUUGACCCGGACGCCGGCUUGAAUCCCCCAUGGGAGGUCUAGAAGGAAACAGCCUGAUUCCGGAGCCGAGGCAGGCGCUGAACCCUGUAGCACUGCACACGCAGCCACCGCCUCGACUAAUGGAUGCGUGGGCAAGGGGCUGCUCCCUGAAUGGCUGCAAUCAGGGAAUCGGAGAAAGGCCAGCUUUAUUUGUGACACGUUGGGCGGGGUGGGCUCUGGGAAGCGCCGUAACCCUUCUCGACUCAGGGCCUCUCGCGUGGCCGCUUAGGAGGGACUUGGCCCCGCAGCCGCCUCUCCCUGUUGCCCAGAGGUUGUCCCAGGCACCCAGAGCCCCUCGAACCUUGCCCUUCGGCCUCCAGCCUCUCACCGCAGGUCAGGGCUCCUUGGGCUCACAUAACGCCCAGUACAACCAUAAGAGGUAGGAAUUCCUGUUCCCAUUUACAGAUGAGGAAACUGAGGCCCGGGUUAAGAUGCUUGCAGAAAACCACACGGUCAGAAAGUAAUAGCCCCAGAAUUCGAACCCUUGUUCUGAAAGCCAAAGCGUGGGGGAGUCCCCACUCUGCCUUCUGCUUCAGCCUUCUGCUUCAGAUUCUCCUGCUUCAGCCUCCUGGGUAGCUGGAACCACAGGCGCCCGCCACCACGACGGGCUAAGGCUAGUUUUUAUAUUUUUAGUAGAGACGGGGUUUCUCCAUUUUGGCCAGGCUGGUCUUGAACUCCUGACCUUAGGUGAUCCACCCGCCCCAGCCUCCCGAAGUGCUGGGAUUACAGGCGUGAGUCACCGCAAGACACCUUUAAAAGAUUAGCAGAAUAACAUCGGAUCAAAACUGUCUAGCCUGCAGUUCCCCUUAAUUUUGUAUUAUAAAAAGAAAACUAAACAGAGAAAACUUUAAAAGACAAUAUAAUGAUACCACGUAGAUUCCAGUACUUGUUAACAGUUUGCCAUAUUUGCUUCGUCUGUGUGUCUUUUCGGAACCAUUUGAAAAUUGUAGAUAUGACAUUUCACCCCAACACCAAAUACUGAGCAUGUAUCUCUUAAAAAUAAGGCCCUUGGCCAGGCGCGGUGGCUCACGCCUGCAAUCCCAGCACUUUGGGAGGCCAAGGCGGGCGGAUCACCUGAGGUCAGGAGUCCGAGACCAACCUGGCCAACAUGGUGAAACCCCGUCUCUACAAAAAAAUACAAAAAUUAGCCGGGCGUGGUGGCGCACGUGCCUAUAAUCCUAGCUACUGGGGAGGCUGAGGCAGGAGAAUCACUUGAAACUGGGAAGCAGAGGUUGCGGUGAGCUGGGAUGGGGCCACUGUACUCCAGCCUGGGCGACAGAGUGAGAUCCAUUUCAAAAAAUAAAAAUAAAGCCCUUAUUCUACAAUAACCAUUGUUAUCACCACUGCUAAGAAAAUUUAAUUCUGUAACAACCAGUCCAUAUUCGUAUGUCCCCAGUCAUCCCAAAAACCUUUUAGGACUUUUUUUUUCUAACUAAGAACCAAUCAGUAUUCACCACACUUGACUCUUAAGUUCUUUCCAUUUCUGUCCCCAAACUUUUAUUUUUAUGACAUCGAUCUUUUGAAGAGAUCAGGCCAUUUACCUAGAUUGUCCCACGUUAGGAAUGUUUCCUUUUAGUAUCAUUUACCUGAAUUUCCUGAAGUUCUUGUUAGAUGGACGUUCUUCUUAAAUGCAUUUCUUCCCUUGAAUUUCUUAAGUUAGGGCUAAAGGCUUGAUUAGAUUCAUGACAACAAGCAGUCAAAAACACUCCAGAGGACACAUUGUAAGUGCACAAGGUUGAUGAAUUUUUACAAACCGAACACACCCAGGUCAAAAAGCAGAACGUGACUAGAAACCAGAACCUCCCCUCCCAGGGCUCCAUGCUCACAUCCAUUCACUAACCCUCACACUCCAAGAGUGACGGUUGUCCUGACUUCUAAUAUCACCAAUUAAUUUUCCUUAUUUUUGUUCUUUCCAUAAAUGGAAUAAUAGAGUAUGUACUUUUGUGUCUUGAAUCUUUUGACAUUAUACUUAGGCAGUUUGACCAUAUCAUUCCAUAUAGUUGUGUUGCAGUUCAUUCAUUUUCAUUGCUCUAUGAUAUGGUUUGGCUGUAUCCCCACCCAAAUCUCAUCUUGUGAAUUGUAGCUCCCAUAAUUCCCACAUAUUGUGGGAGGGACCCAGUGGGAGAUAACUGAAUCAUGGGAGGGGUUUCCCACAUACUGUUCUCAUGGUAGUGAAUUAGUCUCACGAGAGCUGAUGAUUUUAUAAGGGAUUUUCCUUUUUGCUUGGUUCUCAUUCUUUCUUGUCUGCCACCAUGUAAGAUGUGCCUUUGGCCUUCUGCCAUGAUUGUGGGGCCUCCCCAGCCGUGUGGAACUGUGAGUCCAU
rnacentral:lncRNA from 1 species